rnacentral:misc_RNA from 1 species
AUGAAAUGAAUGUCGAGAAGGGUUGUAGCUGGCCUUUCGGGGCACGUGCACGCCCGAGCCCUUAAUCCACUUUACACCUGUGAACCUAAUGUAGGUCGCCCCUCAAAAGGUGGCCUACGUCUUAUCAUCAACCCAUUGUAUGUCUCAUAGAAUGUAAAUCAAUAUCCUCGCCCUGAAAAAGCGUUGAUAAACUUAUA